GACGGGGCNANNCUGCAGUCGAGCGGACAGAUAAGGAGCUUGCUCCUUUGACGUUAGCGGCGGACGGGUGAGUAACACGUGGGCAACCUGCCCCUUAGACUGGGAUAACUCCGGGAAACCGGAGCUAAUACCGGAUAAUCCCUUUCUCCACCUGGAGAGAGGGUGAAAGAUGGCUUCGGCUAUCACUAAGGGAUGGGCCCGCGGCGCAUUAUCUAGUUGGUAAGGUAACGGCUUACCAAGGCAAC
rnacentral:rRNA from 1 species